rnacentral:rRNA from 1 species
GACGAACGCUGGCGGCGUGCCUAAUACAUGCAAGUAGAACGCAGUUGCGAACGGGUGAGUAACGCGUAGGUAACUGCCUCAUAGCGGGGGAUAACUAUUGGAAACGAUAGCUUAUACCGCAUCCUGAGAGAGGGACCUGCUUUGUAUUAGCUAGUUGGUGAGGUAAAGGCUAACCAAGGCGACGAUACAUAGCCGGCUUGAGAGGGUGAUCCGCCAAAAUGGGACUUGGAAACGGCCCAGACUCCUACGGGAGGCAGCAGUAGGGAAACUUCGGCAAUGGACGGAAGCCCGACUGAGCAACGCCGCGGUAGUUAAGAAGGUUUUCGGAUUUUAAAGCUCUUUUGUUAGAGAAGCGGUAACUAAACAGAAAGGGACGGCUAACUACGUGCCAGCCGCCGCGGUAAUAC